rnacentral:misc_RNA from 1 species
AACACUGUUAACCUGCGGUACCUGCGGAAGGAUCAUUACAGAGUUCGUGCCCUCGCGGGUAGAUCUCCCACCCUUGUGUAUUUUCUACAUCUUGUUGCUUUGGCAGGCCGUUGGUUCGCCAACCACCGGCUCGCGGGCUGGUGCGUGCCUGCCAGAGGACCUCUCAAACUCGGUUUGUUAGUGUCGUCUGAGUACCAUAACAAUCGUUAAAACUUUCAACAACGGAUCUCAGAUCGGAAG